AUUAGUCAAAGCAGUUGCGAUGCGUUUUGUCUCUCAUUUACCUGUCAAGAUCUGGUUAACGAUGCUCUCCUUCCUAAUAGCAGAUGACACUGCAAAUCAGCAGCAAGGCCCAGAGCUGGCAAGGAACUUCUGUGUAAGGCAAAGCUGGGACCAAUCACUCACGCAGAACCGAAUCACUCAGAAGAAGAAUUUUUCAGGUGCAUCUGAUAAGACAGUUGCAAAAUAUGCAUGGCCUUUUGGAGUGUAAGACAGAAUAUGAAAUACGUGGAGAAAACAUUUCUGGGUGGCAUUAUCAAAGAUGUUUAGCAUAUGGUUAGCAGCUUUCAGUCAAGCAGAAGAUGAACCUUUUGUAGGCUGUAGUAGGGGCCAUAAUUUCCCUUCAGAGGCACAUUUGGAAAGCACAUUCAGGACAACCGGGUUAGGAGGCGGUACAGAUGUUUGUGAGCUGAACAAAGGGGAUCACAGGCCUGAGGGCAAGAUGUAAACGAAGAUACUUAAUUGCAGAAGGGUCAGUGCAAGUAAGGAUGCGAGGCUAGAGAAUUUUACUCGUAUGAUUAACCUUCUUUAAGCUGCUGAUAAGUGGGUUGCUUGCCUAAGAUAUAUACACGUGAAGAAAUCUGGAAAGCCACCGGAUGUGUCAAGAUGAGCCUCAAGUGAAGAUUCACCUUGAGUCUCAUUAUGACAUGAGACUGCUGCCAAGUGGACGGCUGAUCUCAGAGCAGAUCUGACUACAGAAGACAAGCACCUACAGAGAGGAUUCCUUCACCAUCAACAGGAGGACCCUGUCCAAGUCAUCUCCCAACCUAAAAGAUGGCAGGAAAGUAUCUGCCUUUUAAAUCUGAAGAAAAGACUGAAAACAUUAACUCGGCUUGGCUCAUGCCUGAAGGGGCCACAGAUGGCCCGCUGCCAUCGCGAGGCUGUCAGGGACUCGCUCAGCUUUCCCCUCGUUUACUUGUGGCUGCAGCUCCUGGGGGGCCGCUUCCCAGACAGGAAAACCCAUCUGCUCUCUGCCCUCCCGCACACCUCCCAGAGCCCCAUCCUCCAGCGGCGUGGGGAGGACGCAAACCCCCGUACACCCCUCAUCCCGGCGGAUCCUCUGACGGCUGAGAGCAGGCCAGCGGCAGCCAAGGGAGCAACGCCGGAAGACCCGCG
ensembl:lncRNA